CGGACGGGUGAGUAACGCGUGAGAAUCUGCCAUCAGGUCUGGGACAACCACUGGAAACGGUGGCUAAUACCGGAUGUGUCCGUAAUUGGGUGAAAGGUUAACUGCCUGUUGAUGAGCUCGCGUCUGAUUAGCUAGUUGGAAGUGUAAUGGACUCCCAAGGCGACGAUCAGUAGCUGGUCUGAGAGGACGAUCAGCCACACUGGGACUGAGACACGGCCCAGACUCCUACGGGAGGCAGCAGUGGGGAAUUUUCCGCAAUGGGCGAAAGCCUGACGGAGCAAUACCGCGUGAGGGAGGAAGGCUCUUGGGUCGUAAACCUCUUUUCUCAGGGAAGAACACAAUGACGGUACCUGAGGAAUAAGCAUCGGCUAACUCCGUGCCAGCAGCCGCGGUAAUACGGAGGAUGCAAGCGUUAUCCGGAAUGAUUGGGCGUAAAGCGUCCGCAGGUGGCAAUGUAAGUCUGCUGUUAAAGAGUCUAGCUCAACUAGAUAAGAGCAGUGGAAACUACAUAGCUAGAGUACGUUCGGGGCAGAGGGAAUUCCUGGUGUAGCGGUGAAAUGCGUAGAGAUCAGGAAGAACACCAGUGGCGAAGGCGCUCUGCUAGGCCGUAACUGACACUGAGGGACGAAAGCUAGGGGAGCGAAUGGGAUUAGAUACCCCAGUAGUC
rnacentral:rRNA from 1 species